GCUAGACCCAUUUUCUCUCUAGUUUAUCUCAAACCACCAUUUUCACUCUUCCAAAGCUUAGAACGACAUAAACAUGGAUAAUAGAGAUAAAAUAUAUUCAAGAUGCACUCAAAGAAUUUGAAAUACAACCUCAAAGAAAAGCAAUUUGGCAAAGAGGAGAGAGAAAAUGGGUGGAGUAGAGAUAUGGUUGUUGGUGAUGUGUGGUUUGACUCAAAGAAGAAGCUAAGAAAAGAGGAGAGAAAAAAUGGGUGAAGUAGAGAUAUGGUUAUUAGUGAUGUGUGGUUUGGCUUGGAGAAGAAGCUAAGAAAAGAGGAGAGA